UACGAAGGAUUCGAGCGUUAUCCGGAUUUAUUGGGUUUAAAGGGUGCGUAGGUGGUUUAAUAAGUCAGUGGUGAAAGCCCGCAGCUUAACUGCGGAACUGCCAUUGAUACUGUUAGUCUUGAGUACAGUUGAGGUGGGCGGAAUGUGUCAUGUAGCGGUGAAAUGCUUAGAUAUGACACAGAACACCGAUUGCGAAGGCAGCUCACUAAGCUGUAACUGACACUGAGGCACGAAAGUGUGGGUAGCAAACAGG
rnacentral:rRNA from 1 species